rnacentral:rRNA from 1 species
UACGUAGGCAGCGAGCGUUGUUCGGAGUUACUGGGCGUAAAGCGUGCGUAGGCGGUGGUCCAAGUCUGGUGUGAAAUCUCCCGGCUUAACCGGGAGGGUGCGGCGAAUACUGAGAUGCUGGAGUGCCGGAGAGGUAAGCGGAAUUCCUGGUGUAGCGGUGAAAUGCGUAGAUAUCAGGAGGAACACCUGCGGUGUAGACGGCUUACUGGACGGUAACUGACGCUGAGGCACGAAAGCGUGGGUAGCAAACAGG